rnacentral:misc_RNA from 1 species
GAAAUUUUGUGUUCUAUGAUUAAACAUCACUAGCACCAAAUUAUUAUAAAUUUCAACUGCAAUUGUUUUGGUCUUUAGAUGUUUUAUGAUUAAUCAUUAACAGUCAGGCAGAAGAUCAACCCUUGAAAUAUUCAUGUUUAAGUCCAAAUGGGUGUUUUACGAUUGAGCAGCCAAUUUAUUUGAUAAUAUUUACAUGCAGUUGAUUGAUACAAAAUGACUCUACUUGUUAACUGUUUCCUUUCUGAUGACCACCAAGGCACCAACUGUGUGGAAAGUAGCUGACUGAUUUUUAUU